GACAGCCAGUCGCGUACCUGUCUGGCGGGCGCAAUCGUUACCGCGUCGGUCUGCAUCGACAGGCAUGCGCAGUGCGCACCACCGUGCGAGCAUUCGACCAAGUGGGAAGUGAGGAGGAACGGCGCUGCACGCUGUAAAUGGUCGCCUCCGAGCCGCUCCGCCGCGCCGCCCCGCACCCGCAGUCCUCCCGCCGCGCCGGCUUCGCACGCUCCUCGCUAACCGCAUCAUGGUAAUGGACAACCGGAUGAACGAAGAAACUGACAAUGAACACAACUCCUCGAUAUUCGUGACCAAUUUUCAAAAUGGAGAAAUAGUUAAUUACUCCCUUGUUUUGAUUAAAGGAUUCAUAACAAGAGGUAACACAACAAACCAGGACCAAUUGACAUGCACAUUAAAAAAUGAAAAAACACAAACAAAAUCACAGUGGUCAGUUUAUAAUGGCGAAUUUAAGGUCAUCACUGAAUUAACCAGAGGAAACAACACGAUUGAACUAGAAUAUGCAGAACAAAAGAAAUCAUUUAUAUUGGAGUAUGAGCCUCGUAAAACGAAUCUCAGAGUUACACCAGUUUACAUAAUUUGUCAAGGCCAUGACGGAUGCUUCCAAAGUCCUCAAGAUGUUGAUUGUUCUGUAGAAAGUGCUAGCUCUCGUAUAGUCCUCGGAUCAAAAUUAAUCCAAUGCUUAACAGCUGAAAAACUUUUUGAAAGUGGAGUUGGGAGAAAAACUUUCCAACUUGAACAUGAAGUAAAUUCCAAAAAGCCUGAGUGUGUCAUAUUCAGCAGCAGCUUAAAUGUAAAUAAAGCAAGAAAAAUGAAGCAAGCAGAACUAUGGACUCACUUCGGAAGAGAACUAAUGCUCUCUGAUUUAGGGAGUAAUGAAAGGAAGUUUCUGGGAUUUAUAUCAUGUACGAGAUUUAAAGGGACUGACAUUGAAAAACCAAUGACUCACGAUGAAAUCGUUUCACUAACAGAAGCUUACGCCGCACUUGGAGGCGGAGGUCUAGCUCUGUUUGGUACUGCUUGUUUAUACACAUGGCCCACAGCAGUGGAUGAUAUCAUCCCAAGAUUCAUGGACACAACACCAGUAAACAACCGAAGAUUUAUGGACGACAGCGGAUACAGAGGAACCCUUGGAGGCUGUUUUGCGACAACAUUGGGCUCAGUUUUCCAUGAAUUAGGUCACACCUUUGAUUUAGGACAUACUAAAGAUGGUAUCAUGGGAAGAGGAUUUGAUAAUAUUGACCGUGUCUUUACUGUUGGAGAAAGAAGGUCAUCGCUGAUAAAAGAUAAUAUGAAUAAUUAUAGCGGUAAACCCGUACAACAUUCCACAGUUUCACUACAGCGAAACAUUAGUGUUACCAUGAACGUGGCGGAACCACUACGCUUGUUGGGGCCAAGAAGUAAAACCACGUUAGGGAACUUUGCUUCAAUGUCAAAAUCUGACAUCGUACGAAGAAGUCCAAAUGUUACACCAAUAACUAGACCAUCCAGUGUAUAUUCAAGCAUUACAAAUAAACUCACAGACUCCAAGAGAAACAUCAACCGAGUAAACGGAAAUGAUUCAAUUUACUGGACCAGAAAUUGUGCAGUGCUAUUAUCAUAUCACCGAUGGUUCAACAAUGAAUAUGGGAGAGAAAGACAAGCAAUAACGAGAUAUCUGAAAUUUGACAAAAACAAAAUGCUGAUUAUCUCAACGGCUGGCAUAAGAAUAGUUGAAGUAAGAGAUGAAUCGAAUGGAAUGGUGUUGGAUUCGUAUGAAUUCACUAACCUAUUGCCAGAAAAAAGAUUUUUGGUCCCAUUUACCUUUUCUCCUAAGAGCAAAGUCUUGACCAUUGUCGUAGAAGACGAUUUGGGCAAUGUAUUGAAGCAAACAUUUUCUUAUUGAUUUCAUUCCAAGCUAAGAAUAGAAUAGAUUAAUGUAUUGACAAUAAAGUGAAAAUGUAAUUGGGAAGUAUUAAUUUAUGAGAAGGACAUGUAUAUAAGUAAUUUACGUGAUAACAAAAACAUGUAAUUUUAACUUUGCCUAUGUUAUUAUAUUUAUUAAGAUUCUCAGUAACUAACCGCGAUAGCUUCGCUUCUGUGAUUUUGAAAGUGUACAUUUUCAAUUUUAAAUUGUGGAAACAUCGCUCUGUGUAAUGGCAACUGGAAAUUUGACAAUUAAUAACUGGCAUGACAUUAAUGACAUUCCGUGUUGUUUGUUUACACUUAAAAUUUUCAGGAAACUGGUGGGCUUAUUUUAUCAGCUUAAUUUUAUCAUUUGAAUGUAAAUACUCAUUUGCAAUGACUUAGUUAUCUAUAGGUAACCAGUGUAGAAAUUUGGCGUGCAGAUGAUAAAUGGUUUUUAGUCAUAUUGGACAUUACUAAUAAUUUCUUACAAAUGGCAAGUUCUUCGGGUCAAUUAUCGCAUCAAAGCAGUUUCUGGAGAAACAUGAAAGAAUUUCCACCUGUAAUUGAUGGAAGAAUACAUUUUGUGAGUUUCUUAGAAGCUGCAAAUGAUUUGAUAUCGUUAGUGGAACGUCUUGGCAAGGUGUUUGUGCCAGUUAAAUAUGAUAUGCAAGGGAAUAUUGAUAAAGUAAAGAAGCAUUAUCAAUACGAUGAAGCAUCCUGCUUGCUUGAGUUAAUGCUUGAUGAAUAUAGCAGAGGAAAACUGAAUGCACUAGAGGGCAUAUUAUGGCUUAAUAGAGCAUUCUUGUUUUUCGAACUGGCAUUUCAAGAAAUAAUUAAAUGUCUGCAGUCUGGUAACUAUGAUAUAAACAUGGCCAAAAUAUUUACAGUGGCAUACGAAGGAUCUGUCAAAAAAUACCACAAUUGGGUAACACAACAAAUAUUUUUUUUUAUCUGCAAAAUGUCUCCGUCGUUGCUUCAACUUUUGAAAUCCCUUGAAGUUGAUAGUGAUAUGAAAACAUUUGAAACGAAAUUAGUCCAAUUCAACAUAACAUUGCAUUUAAAUAGGUGUAAAAUUGAUGACUUUUUUAAAGAUCACCAAUUGUUCGAAGAUUAGAUGAUAAGCUAUCCAAUUCAAAUCCCAAAGUGUCCUAAUUUAAAAUAUGAAUACAGUUAGAUUUUGUUAUUUGUAACAAUAAAUUGACUAGAAAUAGAUUUUGUAUAUAAUACACUAAAAAUUAUUGUAAAGGAUCACUUCUAUUAUUAUUAUCAAUUACCUAACUACUUAAUUUUUUUAAAUAAUCAUGUAAUGUGUUUAACCAUUAAAUAGAGGUGGUCCUAACUGUAACCUAAGAUAACCUACACCUAAAUGCUGUGUUAGUACCUAUAGAGCAAGAGGCUAUUAUAAAAUAGAUAUUUAUUAAUUACAUUACCAAUAGGAUUUUUUGUAUUGUGAACCAAAAACUUGUGUAUGUAUAAUAAAUCGCAUUAUUUAUUACUCAUAUUAUACCAACUAGAAGUGGAAUAUAUUUUUGUGUAAUAACAUUUCUGUUAACAUCUAUGGAAGCAAAUACACACAGAUUUUCGAAGACUAGUGCCUUGAGUGGUUGACAGCAAGAAUUACAAAUUAUUGUGUAUAAGAAAGGUUCAAAACAUUUUAAUGAAAUACAUUAUGAAGAUGUUAUAUUUUGUACCAGUAGCUAUAAUGACAAUGCUCUAAAAAUAAUUUUAACCCAGGAUAAUUAAGCAAUGAGAUGUGUAGAGUAUUAAGGUGCUAGUAAUAGUUUGAGAGAUGUCACUUAGAUCUUUGUUUGUGUAUUACAAAAUUGUGUUAAUUAUAUAUUUAUUCUUAUAAAUAUUACUGUAAAACCGAUUGGAGCUUUGCUGCUACACAUGUUAGCUUAUAAUGAAUUCAUUAUAAAUCUUGAGUGACUA